CCUACGGGAGGCAGCAGUCGAGAAUCAUUCACAAUGGGGGAAACCCUGAUGGUGCGACGCCGCGUGGGGGAAUGAAGGUCUUCGGAUUGUAAACCCCUGUCAUGUGGGAGCAAGUUAAAAAGAUAGUACCACAAGAGGAAGGGACGGCUAACUCUGUGCCAGCCGCCGCGGUAAUACAGAGGGCUCAAGCGUUUUUCGGAAUCACUGGGCGUAAAGCGUGCGUAGGCUGUUUCGGAAGUAGUUUGUGAAAGGCGCGGGCGCAAAACGCGGACGGCACAUGAUACUGCGAGACUAGAGUAAUGGAGGGGGAACCGGAAGUAUAGGUGUAGCAGUGAAAUGCGUAGAUAUCGGGAGGAACACUCGUGGCGAAGGCGGGUUCCUGGACAUUAACUGACGCUGAGGCACGAAGGCCAGGGGAGCGAAAGGGAUUAGAUACCCUUGUAGUC
rnacentral:rRNA from 1 species